GGGUUGUGAGGUUAAGCGACUAAGCGUACACGGUGGAUGCCCUGGCAGUCAGAGGCGAUGAAGGACGUGCUAAUCUGCGAUAAGCGUCGGUAAGGUGAUAUGAACCGUUAUAACCGGCGAUUUCCGAAUGGGGAAACCCAGUGUGAUUCGUCACACUAUCAUUACGUGAAUACAUAGCGUAAUGAAGCGAACCGGGGGAACUGAAACAUCUAAGUACCCCGAGGAAAAGAAAUCAACCGAGAUUCCCCCAGUAGCGGCGAGCGAACGGGGAGCAGCCCAGAGUCUGAAUCAGCUUGUGUGUUAGUGGAACGGUCUGGAAAGUCCGACGGUACAGGGUGAUAGUCCCGUACACCAAAAUGCACAGGUUGUGAACUCGAAGAGUAGGGCGGGACACGUGGUAUCCUGUCUGAAUAUGGGGGGACCAUCCUCCAAGGCUAAAUACUCCUGACUGACCGAUAGUGAACCAGUACCGUGAGGGAAAGGCGAAAAGAACCCCGGCGAGGGGAGUGAAAAAGAACCUGAAACCGUGUACGUACAAGCAGUGGGAGCAUCCUUUUGGGUGUGACUGCGUACCUUUUGUAUAAUGGGUCAGCGACUUAUAUUCUGUAGCAAGGUUAACCGUAUAGGGGAGCCGAAGGGAAACCGAGUCUUAACUGGGCGUUAAGUUGCAGGGUAUAGACCCGAAACCCGGUGAUCUAGCCAUGGGCAGGUUGAAGGUUGGGUAACACUAACUGGAGGACCGAACCGACUAAUGUUGAAAAAUUAGCGGAUGACUUGUGGCUGGGGGUGAAAGGCCAAUCAAACCGGGAGAUAGCUGGUUCUCCCCGAAAGCUAUUUAGGUAGCGCCUCGUGAAUUCAUCUUCGGGGGUAGAGCACUGUUUCGGCUAGGGGGUCAUCCCGACUUACCAACCCGAUGCAAACUGCGAAUACCGAAGAAUGUUAUCACGGGAGACACACGGCGGGUGCUAACGUCCGUCGUGAAGAGGGAAACAACCCAGACCGCCAGCUAAGGUCCCAAAGUCAUGGUUAAGUGGGAAACGAUGUGGGAAGGCACAGACAGCCAGGAUGUUGGCUUAGAAGCAGCCAUCAUUUAAAGAAAGCGUAAUAGCUCACUGGUCGAGUCGGCCUGCGCGGAAGAUGUAACGGGGCUAAACCAUGCACCGAAGCUGCGGCAGCGACACUAUGUGUUGUUGGGUAGGGGAGCGUUCUGUAAGCCGUUGAAGGUGUACUGUGAGGUAUGCUGGAGGUAUCAGAAGUGCGAAUGCUGACAUAAGUAACGAUAAUGCGGGUGAAAAACCCGCACGCCGGAAGACCAAGGGUUCCUGUCCAACGUUAAUCGGGGCAGGGUGAGUCGACCCCUAAGGCGAGGCCGAAAGGCGUAGUCGAUGGGAAACAGGUUAAUAUUCCUGUACUUGGUGUUACUGCGAAGGGGGGACGGAGAAGGCUAUGUUAGCCGGGCGACGGUUGUCCCGGUUUAAGCAUGUAGGCGGAGGUUCCAGGUAAAUCCGGUACCUUUUUAACGCUGAGGUGUGAUGACGAGGCACUACGGUGCUGAAGUAACAAAUGCCCUGCUUCCAGGAAAAGCCUCUAAGCAUCAGGUAACACGAAAUCGUACCCCAAACCGACACAGGUGGUCAGGUAGAGAAUACCAAGGCGCUUGAGAGAACUCGGGUGAAGGAACUAGGCAAAAUGGUGCCGUAACUUCGGGAGAAGGCACGCUGAUAUGUAGGUGAAGUGAUUUACUCAUGGAGCUGAAAUCAGUCGAAGAUACCAGCUGGCUGCAACUGUUUAUUAAAAACACAGCACUGUGCAAACACGAAAGUGGACGUAUACGGUGUGACGCCUGCCCGGUGCCGGAAGGUUAAUUGAUGGGGUUAUCCGUAAGGAGAAGCUCUUGAUCGAAGCCCCGGUAAACGGCGGCCGUAACUAUAACGGUCCUAAGGUAGCGAAAUUCCUUGUCGGGUAAGUUCCGACCUGCACGAAUGGCGUAAUGAUGGCCAGGCUGUCUCCACCCGAGACUCAGUGAAAUUGAACUCGCUGUGAAGAUGCAGUGUACCCGCGGCAAGACGGAAAGACCCCGUGAACCUUUACUAUAGCUUGACACUGAACACUGGUCCUUGAUGUGUAGGAUAGGUGGGAGGCUUUGAAGUGUGGACGCCAGUCUGCAUGGAGCCAUCCUUGAAAUACCACCCUUUAAUGGCUGGUGUUCUAACGUGGACCCGUGAUCCGGGUUGCGGACAGUGUCUGGUGGGUAGUUUGACUGGGGCGGUCUCCUCCUAAAGAGUAACGGAGGAGCACGAAGGUUAGCUAAUCCUGGUCGGACAUCAGGAGGUUAGUGCAAAGGCAUAAGCUAGCUUGACUGCGAGAGUGACGGCUCGAGCAGGUGCGAAAGCAGGUCUUAGUGAUCCGGUGGUUCUGAAUGGAAGGGCCAUCGCUCAACGGAUAAAAGGUACUCCGGGGAUAACAGGCUGAUACCGCCCAAGAGUUCAUAUCGACGGCGGUGUUUGGCACCUCGAUGUCGGCUCAUCACAUCCUGGGGCUGAAGUAGGUCCCAAGGGUAUGGCUGUUCGCCAUUUAAAGUGGUACGCGAGCUGGGUUUAGAACGUCGUGAGACAGUUCGGUCCCUAUCUGCCGUGGGCGCUGGAGAAUUGAGGGGGGCUGCUCCUAGUACGAGAGGACCGGAGUGGACGCAUCACUGGUGUUCGGGUUGUCAUGCCAAUGGCAUUGCCCGGUAGCUAAAUGCGGAAGAGAUAAGUGCUGAAAGCAUCUAAGCACGAAACUUGCCCCGAGAUGAGUUCUCCCUGAGACUUUAAGUCUCCUGAAGGAACGUUGAAGACGACGACGUUGAUAGGUCGGGUGUGUAAGUGUAGCGAUACAUUGAGCUAACCGAUACUAAUGAACCGUGAGGCUUAACCUUACAACGCCGAAG
rnacentral:rRNA from 1 species